rnacentral:rRNA from 1 species
CAGUCGCCGCGGGAAUACAGAGGGUGCGAGCGUUAAUCGGAUUUACUGGGCGUAAAGCGUGCGUAGGCGGCUUCUUAAGUCGGAUGUGAAAUCCCUGAGCUUAACUUAGGAAUUGCAUUCGAUACUGGGAAGCUAGAGUAUGGGAGAGGAUGGUAGAAUUCCAGGUGUAGCGGUGAAAUGCGUAGAGAUCUGGAGGAAUACCGAUGGCGAAGGCAGCCAUCUGGCCUAAUACUGACGCUGAGGUACGAAAGCAUGGGGAGAAAACAGGAUUAGAUACCCCGGUAGUCCCUGUCUCUUAUAC